rnacentral:tRNA from 1 species
UGGCUUAGUUGGUUGAGCGUCUGACUUCAGCUCAGGUCAUGAUCUCAUGGUUUGUGGGUUCAAGCCCCAU